AAUCCAUAAAUCAGACAUUUUCAAAGUAAUUCUUUAAAUCAUUCCUAAGCUUUAUAUAGCAUUCCAUCCUCUGAUUGCCGAAAAGAUGUGAUGUCAUUUCUAAGCUU
rnacentral:snoRNA from 1 species